rfam:Stegodyphus mimosarum contig60839, whole genome shotgun sequence.
GCCUUCGUGGGGUAGUGGUCAGCACGCUCGGCGCGUAUUCGAGAGGUCCGUGAUUCGAAUCCCGGCGAGGGCA